rnacentral:rRNA from 1 species
GGACUACUCGGGUUUCUAAUCCUGUUUGCUCCCCUAGCUUUCGUCCCUCAGCGUCAGUUGCGAUCCAGUGAGCCGCCUUCGCCACGGGUGUUCCUGCAGAUAUCUACGCAUUUCACCGCUACACCUGCAAUUCCACUCACCUCUCUCGCACUCUAGCACGGCAGUUUUGGAAGCAGCCCCUGGGUUAAGCCCAGAGAUUUCACUCCCAACUUGCCACACCGCCUACGGACCCUUUACGCCCAGUUAUUCCGAGCAACGCUGGCCCCCUACGUCUUACCGCGGCUGCUGGCAC